CUUGGGGCCGGCCUGGUGGCGCAGCAGUUAAGUUCCCAUGUUCCACUUCUCAGAGGCCCCAGGUUUGCCGGUUCGGAUCCCAGGUACAGACAUGGCACUGCUUGGCAAAAAGCCAUGCUGUGGCAGGCAUCCCACGUAUAAAGUAGAGGAAGAUGGACUUGGAUGUUAGUUCAGGGCCAGUCUUCCUCAGCAAAAAGAGAAGGAUUGGCAGUGGUUACUCAGGGUCAAUCUUCCUCAAAAAAAAUAGUGAGCACCUUGUCUGUGCCAGCCUUGUGCUAGGGGCUGGGACACAGCAUGAGUAAGACAUGGUUUCUCCUCCCAAGGAGCCCACUGCCGAGCGGGGGAGACAGACAGGAGCAGAUGGUGUGGCCGUGGGGCCUGCAAUGGGCCUCACUGAGGCCUGAGCUGAGAGAAGGAAACAUCCUGGAGAAGCUGAGACUUCAAGGAAGAGUCGCUUUCCUGGUGAACCCUUGAGGGAGGACCUUCCAGGCAGAGGUGGGGAAACCAGCUUUGCCUUUCUCCUAGCUCUACUGAGCUCCCGUCUUACUUCUACUCUACACCAGGACAGAGUCCACCUGACACUUCUGAAUGACGGGACGUCCUUCAUCUUCUGCUGGAGAUUUAGAGACAGACUUCCAACAAGGAAAGCCAGGCCUCUGGCCAAGGACACCCCUGAACACAGAGCAGAGAGGAGCCGAAACAGGACACUGAAGACAUCCAGGCCGCCCAGACCCACAGACUGCGCCCCGACCCUACCUCCCCUGCAGUUAGUGCAGGAGGAUGAGACAGAGCAAGGUCACCCAUCAGGAUGCUGUCUCUCUAGCGCCCUCUGCCGGGUUCUCAUGAGAAGACCCCCUUGACAGGAGGAGACAAGGAGUCGUUGCAAGGAGCCAGACAGACAGGUGGUGAAGGACAGCGCUGGACAGGUGUGAGACUGCUCUAUGAGGCCAUUCAUCUCAUAAAUAGUUGCUGAGUACCAAAGACGUGCCGGGCGCUAUUCCAGUGCCAGGGAUAUGAACGGAUGAGACAAGGCCUUCCGGUGGAGCAAGCAUCCUGGGUGAUCGCAGAGAGAGAAUAAACAAAUACAUAGCGUCGGCAGUAAAAAGCGCUACACGUAGAGAAACAAAACAGAAUAAGAGAUAGGAAGUGAUGCAAAUGGGACUCAAAAUAGGGCACUCAGGGAAGGCCUUAUGAGGAAGUGACCUUUGGGCGAAGAUCUAAAUAAAGCGAGGGAGUGAAGUGUGCAGAUCUCGGAAGGAAGAAUUUUCGGGCAGAGGGGAAGCGAAGGCCAAGGCCCUGAGACGGGAAGAUCCAAGAGAGGCUUUCAAAGCUUACAGUGGAGGAGAAAUGGCUUGUUUGAGACGAGGAAAGAGGCGGAACAAGGGAAGUAACUUGCCUGAGGUCACAUGGCUUGUCAGUGUCACAGGGCAAGAUUCCAUUCCAGGACUCCCGGAUUCCAGCAUCUCUGCUCCUAACCAGCCAAUCCUUGCUGUCUUCUCCUGCUGGCACCGACUCCGCUAAGAAACAGAAGGUUCAAGAUGGCGACACAGGAAGAUCCUGAACUCGCCUCCCCCACAGACACACUGAAUCUACAGCUGCAUAUGGAGCAAUUUCCUCUCAAAAAAACCCUAAAAUCUAGUGGAAAGACUCCUUCGUAUUAGGGAAAUGAGAAAACAAAAAACAAAAAAACAUUGAUGCGAGUAGGAAAGGCUGAGAUAGUCUCACCAUAACCCGCCCUCCCCCCCAGCCACACACAGUGACCCAUAGCCCGAGUGAACUUAAAACCCAGAGCUUCUCCCUGAGGAGCGAAAGGUUUGUACUCCACAUCGGGCACCCCAGCUUUUAAGACCUGCACCUGAGAGAUGAGCCCCCAACACAUCCAGCUUUGAAAAGCAACAGGGCUUGGGCCCAGAAGACCCACAGGGCUGGAGAAACAUCGCUCAAAGGACUCGCUCACCCCGGGGGCCCAGUGCAGAAGCAGCCCUUGGAAAGUGCCCGACUUUCCGUGCUGGAGGCUCAUUCCUAGUUUUCAGGCCUCGGUCUCCAGGGCCCGGAGCUGGUGAGCGCCAUCUUCACGCUCUCCCUAGGUAUUGCUAGAGCCUGCGCCCCCCUCAUUUCUUUUUUUUUUUUUUUGACUCUAGAAGUUUUUCCCCGCAGCGGGCACCAUUUUCCUGCUCUCUGUCUUGCUAAAGCUGGUGGGCACCGGCUUUUCCUGUCUUUGCUUUUCUCGGCGAUGCCAUCUUUGCGCCCCGCCCCCGCCUCCCCCCAGCCACGCCAUCUUCCGCUCUCCUACUGCGCUCAAAGCGCCACUGUCUCCUGGAAGGGAGUUUCUACAUGCAUCUGGUGUUCUGGAUUUUACCCGUGGUGACCCAGUUUUGGUGGCUACAGCCCAGGGGAAGUCCCUUGAUCGCCAGGCUCUGAAGGCCAGAGGGGCUUGCUUUCCUGGGUCCCAUGGGACUGUGACAAACGGAGAGACAGUUCUCAGCAGGCGACACCCCCAGGGCACUGCACAGAUAGAGACUGAAACACCCCCCCAUCUUUCUGGGAAAGAGGCCUAUGCGCAUGUCCAGGAGCUUUGGCCUGGGGGAGGCUUCUGGUCUGGCCCCUUCCAGGGACCUAGGGAGUGCUCUCUCAGGGAAUGGAGGGCGUGGACUCAGUCUGCGUUCUCUGCCUGGCUCCAGCUCACUGGUAUCUCCUACAGCUGCCACCCUCAAGGCACAGCAAGAGGCCACAGACCCAGGAACUCAGUCUUUCUGGGAAAGAGGGCUAUUACCUUAUCAUCGCAGCUGCUGCCUGAG
rnacentral:lncRNA from 1 species